rnacentral:rRNA from 1 species
AUACGUAGGUGGCAAGCGUUGUCCGGAAUUAUUGGGCGUAAAGCGCAUGUAGGCGGUGCCUUAAGUCUGUCGUGAAACUGCGGGGCCUAACCCCGUAUGGCGAUGGAAACUGUGGCACUUGAGUGCAGGAGAGGAAAGGGGAACUCCCAGUGUAGCGGUGAAAUGCGUAGAUAUUGGGAAGAACACCGGUGGCAAAGGCGCCUUUCUGGACUGUGUCUGACGCUGAGAUGCGAAAGCCAGGGUAGCGAACGGGAUUAGAUACCCCGGUAGUCCUGGCCGUAAACGAUGGGUACUAGGUGUGGGAGGUAUCGACCCCUUCCGUGCCGGAGUUAACGCAAUAAGUACCCCGCCUGGGGAGUACGGCCGCAAGGCUUAAACUCAAAUGAAUUGACGGGG